rnacentral:rRNA from 1 species
GGAACCACCUGAUCCCUUCCCGAACUCAGAAGUGAAACGACGCAUCGCCGAUGGUAGUGUGGGGUCUCCCCAUGUGAGAGUAGGUCAUCGUCAAGC